UACGAAGGGGGCUAGCGUUGUUCGGAUUUACUGGGCGUAAAGCGCACGUAGGCGGAUUGGUCAGUUAGGGGUGAAAUCCUGGAGCUCAACUCCAGAACUGCCUUUAAUACUGCCAGUCUCGAGUCCGGAAGAGGUAAGUGGAACUCCUAGUGUAGAGGUGGAAUUCGUAGAUAUUAGGAAGAACACCAGUGGCGAAGGCGGCUUACUGGUCCGGUACUGACACUGAGGAGCGAAAGCCAGGGGAGCAAACGGG
rnacentral:rRNA from 1 species